UAGGGAAUAUUGGACAAUGGGGGCAACCCUGAUCCAGCCAUGCCGCGUGAGUGAAGAAGGCCCUCGGGUUGUAAAGCUCUUUUGUCCGGAAAGAAAAGCUUCGGGUUAAUACCCCGGGGUUCUGACGGUACCGGAAGAAUAAGCACCGGCUAACUUCGUGCCAGCAGCCGCGGUAAUACGAAGGGUGCAAGCGUUACUCGGAAUUACUGGGCGUAAAGCGUGCGUAGGUGGUUGUUUAAGUCUGAUGUGAAAGCCCUGGGCUCAACCUGGGAAUGGCAUUGGAAACUGGGCAGCUAGAGUGCGGUAGAGGGCAGUGGAAUUCCCGGUGUUGCAGUGAAAUGCGUAGAGAUCGGGAGGAACAUCUGUGGCGAAGGCGACUGCCUGGACCAGCACUGACACUGAGGCACGAAAGCGUGGGGAGCAAACA
rnacentral:rRNA from 1 species